GACGAACGCUGGCGGCGUGCUUAACACAUGCAAGUCGAACGGAAAGGCCCUGCUUUUGUGGGGUGCUCGAGUGGCGAACGGGUGAGUAACACGUGAGUAACCUGCCCUUGACUUUGGGAUAACUUCAGGAAACUGGGGCUAAUACCGGAUAGGAGCUCCUGCUGCAUGGUGGGGGUUGGAAAGUUUCGGCGGUUGGGGAUGGACUCGCGGCUUAUCAGCUUGUUGGUGGGGUAGUGGCUUACCAAGGCUUUGACGGGUAGCCGGCCUGAGAGGGUGACCGGACACAGUGAGUGAGAGAUGCGCCAGAGUCCCAUGGGGGGGAGCAGAGUGGAGAAUAGUGCACAAGGCGGAGGCAUCAGAUAGAAAAGCGGCGCGUGGGAGAUGGCGCCUUGCGGGGUGAAAACCGCUUGCCUGUGACGAAGCGCGAGAGACGGGGAAAUGUAAAGAAAAACCGGCUAACUACGUG
rnacentral:rRNA from 1 species